rnacentral:rRNA from 1 species
AGCGAACGCUGGCGGCAUGCCUAACACAUGCAAGUCGAACGAGACCUUCGGGUCUAGUGGCGCACGGGUGCGUAACGCGUGGGAACCUGCCCUUAGGUUCGGAAUAACUCCCCGAAAGGGGUGCUAAUACCGGAUAAUGUCUUCGGACCAAAGAUUUAUCGCCUUUGGAUGGGCCCGCGUUGGAUUAGCUAGUUGGUAGGGUAAAAGCCUACCAAGGCGACGAUCCAUAGCUGGUCUGAGAGGAUGAUCAGCCACACUGGGACUGAGACACGGCCCAGACUCCUACGGGAAGCAGCAGUGGGGAAUAUUGGACAAUGGGCGAAAGCCUGAUCCAGCAAUGCCGCGUGAGUGAUGAAGGCCUUAGGGUUGUAAAGCUCUUUUACCCGGGAUGAUAAUGACAGUACCGGGAGAAUAAGCUCCGGCUAACUCCGUG